rnacentral:rRNA from 1 species
AUUCCAGCUCCAGUAGCGUAUAUUAAAGUUGUUGCAGUUAAAAAGCUCGUAGUUGGAUUUCUGGUAUGAUGCGCUUGGCCCGCCGCGGUUACGCGUGUGAGUGCCGAUGUGCGUCUGCCAUCUUCUCAGGAACCGAUGCUACCCUUCACUGGGUCGGCGUCGUGCUCUGAGACUUUUACUUUGAGAAAAUUAGAGUGUUUAAAGCAGGCUAUUGCUAUGGAUACAUUAGCAUGGAAUAAUAAUCUAGGACUUCGGUUCUAUUUUGUUGGUUUCUAGAUCUGAAGUAAUGAUUGAUAGGGAGCGUUGGGGGUGCUAGUAUAUUUUGGCCAGAGGUGAAAUUCUUGGAUUCAAAAAAGACUAACUUAUGCGAAAGCAUUCACCAAGGAGCUCUUCAUCA